rnacentral:rRNA from 1 species
AUUGAACGCUGGCGGCAUGCUUUACACAUGCAAGUCGAACGGUAACAGGCCGCUUGGUGCUGACGAGUGGCGAACGGGGGAGUAAUGCAUCGGAACGUGUCCAGGCUUGUGGGAUAACAACUCGGAAGAGUAGCGAAUACCCCACACGAGCUAUGGAGGAGAACGGGGGGGCGUAAGGGCUCGCGCGCUUUCAGCUGCCCAUGUCUGAUUAGGUAGUUGGUGGGGUAAAGGCGCACCAAGCCAACGAUCUGUAUCUGGUCUGAGAGGAUAACCAGUCACACUGGGACUGAGACACGGCCCAGACUCCUACGGGAGGCAGCAGUGGGGAAUAUUGGACAAUGGGCGAAAGCCUGAUCCAGCAAUGCCGCGUGUAUGAAGAAGGUCUUCGGAUUGUAAACUACUUUUGUAUGGAACGAAACGGAUUUAGUUAAUACCCGGGGCUAAUGACGGUACCGUCAGAAUAAGCACCGGCUAACUACGUG